GAAAUGCGAUAAGUAGUGUGAAUUGCAGAAUUCAGUGAAUCAUCGAAUCUUUGAACGCACAUUGCGCCCUUUGGUAUUCCUUAGGGCAUGCCUGUUCGAGCGUCAUCUAAACCUUCAAGCCCUGCUUGGUGUUGGGUGCUUGUCCCGCCUCCGCGCGCGGACUCACCUCAAAUCCAUUGGCGGCCCCCGCGUCGGCCACGAGCGCAGCAGAAACGCGAACUCGUGAGCCCGUCCGGGCGGCUCCCAGAAGCUACACCCACCCAGUUUGACCUCGGAUCAGGUAGGGAUACCCGCUGAACUUAAGC
rnacentral:misc_RNA from 1 species